rnacentral:rRNA from 1 species
AGUGAACGCUGGCGGCAGGCCUAACACAUGCAAGUCGAACGAACCUUUCGGGGUUAGUGGCGGACGGGUGAGUAACACGUGGGAACGUGCCUUUAGGUUCGGAAUAACUCAGGGAAACUUGUGCUAAUACCGAAUGUGCCCUUCGGGGGAAAGAUUUAUCGCCUUUCGAGCGGCCCGCGUCUGAUUAGCUAGUUGGUUGAGGUAAUGGCUCACCAAGGCGACGAUCAGUAGCUGGUCUGAGAGGAUGAUCAGCCACAUUGGGACUGAGACACGGCCCAAACUCCUACGGGAGGCAGCAGUGGGGAAUCUUGCGCAAUGGGCGAAAGCCUGACGCAGCCAUGCCGCGUGAAUGAUGAAGGUCUUAGGAUUGUAAAAUUCUUUCACCGGGGACGAUAAUGACGGUACCCGGAGAAGAAGCCCCGGCUAACUUCGUG